AUAAAAACCAACCUUAUAAAACUAGGAGUACAAUCAGCCCUCUAUACCUGUUGGUUCCACAUCUGCGCAUUCAACCAACCACAGAUCAAAAAUAUUCAAAAAAUAAAAGAUAAUACAAAUUUUUAAAUGCAGUAUAACAACUAUUUAUAUAGCAACCUAAUGAAGAGAAUCUGUAAUAAACCUACAACUAACAUCAUUCUCUCUUUUUUUUCUUUUUUCAAGACAGGUCUUGCUCUGUUGCCCAGGUUGGAGUAAAAUGGUACAAUCACAGUUCACUGCAGCCUCGACCUCUCCAGUUCAAGUGAUCCUCCUGACUCUGCCUUCUGAGUGGCUGAGACUAUAGGCAUGCAUCAUUAUGCCUGGCUUUUUAAAAAACUUUUUGUAAAGAUGGGGUCUCCCUAUGUUGCCCAGGCUGAUCUUGAACACCUGGGCUCAAGGGAUCCUCCUGCCUUGGCAUCCCAAAGUAUUGAGAUUACAGGCAUGAGCCACCAUGCCUGGUCCUAACAUCAUUUUUUGGAUACUGCGCUUACUUCCUAAGAUCAAGAACAAGAAAGGAGAUGUGUGUAUGAGUUCUGCAGAAGUCCACCAAAUGUGGGCCAGGGUUAUUUCCCUGGUGAUGCUCUGAAGCUUUUGCCAAAGGACAAAUGGAAACAGGAAGUACAAUCAUGCACUGGGGUAAAGAAGAUUCAUCUGCUCUUAGCUACCUACCAUGCCAACACUCCUGAGAAAGCUCACAGAGGCCCAUGAUGCCCACCUGGAUCUGAGGACCUAGAAAGCCACAACAGGCAACCAUAAUCUGGGUCUUCCCUCAGCCAACUCCCCUGCAUAAAGUGAAUGAAUGAAAAACCCAUCUUAUAUUAAUCAGAGUUCUCUAGAGAAAAAGAACCAAUCAGAUGUGUAUAUAUAGAAAGAGAGAAUUAUUUUAGGGAAUUAGCUCACAUCAUUAUGCAGGCUGGUCAAUCAAAAAUCUGUGGAGUGGGCUAGCAGGCUGGAGACCCAGGGAAAGGCUAAAUUGCAGUUUAGAUCAGAAGGUCAUCUACUGGCAGAAUUCCCUCAUCUUCCAGGAAGGUGGAUCUUUUUCUACCAAGGCCUUCAGUUUAUUAGAUUAGGCCCAUGAACAUGCUGGAGGGUAAUCUGCUUUACUCAAUACAUACUGAUUUGAAUGUUAGUAUCAUCAAAAAGACCUUCACAGAAACAUCUAAAAUAAUGUUUGACCAAAUGUCUGCAUACCAUGGCCAAGCCAAGUUUACACAUAAAAUUAAUUAUCACACAUCCCACGAACACCAUCCCCAACAGAUGCUCAUGAGCAUUGUGGUUAUGAUUUCAACUUCAGAAUAAGGCAGAAAUGUGUACAAAUCCUGACCCUUUGACUUAUCAGCUCUCUAAAAAUCAUUAUAUGUCAACUUUCUAGACUUUACCUGAAAAACAGAAACCAAGAUACCCACAGCAUAAGAUUGUUAGGAUUGAAGAAAUUGUUACGAUUGUUAGGUAUGAAGAAAUUUAAACAAUGAUGCAGCUGAGAUAUUUAGAAUUGUACCUGGCAUGUACUUUGUAUUAAAUAACUAAUAAGGCCUUUUUCUGGUGAAAACAAAAUAAGCCUGGAUAAAAGAAGAUGAGACCAGAUUGGUUGAUGGCUCGGCCUGGGUGGGCUCCUGGCCCAUCUGAAAUUACAUUACUCUUAUGUAGUGCCUUUUUUGUUAUUGCUAAAAUAAAAUAAAUAAAACACUCUACUUUCAUACUUUGUAAAAUGCACUUCUCAUUCAGUUCCUCUUCCUGUGCCUUUUCCCUAUUGUCUAUCUGCACACAGCUGUUUUCUUCUGCACAUUUUCAUCACAGAGAAUUACCAGGUGUAGGUCAAAAGAUGCCACAGAGAUAACAAAGGAAAGGAAAAGCUUUUCUGCACUUCUAUCCUUGUAAGCACAAAAAUUAAUCACACUUUCAGUAAACAGGUCAGGUAAGUCAGUCCUGCACUUGAACCUUUUCUCCCCAAAUAAAUAGUUGAAAUGGGAAUGUCGAUUUCUGUAUUUGAACAGAAAUGUAUUAGUGUAGCUUUCAAAAGAAGACUACUCUCUCCAUAUGAAUAUCAUCAGACCCACAAAUACACAUAUGCAUACAUUCACAGUUCAUCCUAACGCUGCAGAAUAUUCUAAGAGUAACACAUUUCUGUACAAAUCAAGCAGCAGCUUUCACUUGCAUGCUAAUCUUCAAAUUAAUUCUGCAAUGAUCCAUUCAUUCCACAUCCCAACCUACAUCCUCAGAAAAACAAAGAUGUAAGUAAGGAACUCAGUAUAACAUGUUUGACUUUAGACACUACUCAAAUAUACUCAAACUUUAUAUGAAUAUGGAUAUUGCUCCUAGAUUAGGCAGUUCAGAAAACAAAUCUUGAUUAUUCUUAGUUACAAUGUAGUAUAAAAUAACAACAAUUUCAUGUCAACAACAGAAUCUCCUAAAAGAUCUUAUAAAGAUAAAAAGUCUUAGGUGUUAGUCGUCAAAGACUAAGUUGUAAAUGUAUCAUUGUAUUUGUGUAGUUAAUAAAACCCUAGACAAGAUAUGGGUUCCAGUUCUUGAACCACCACCACCUGUUCACCUUAAAUAAGUCAACUAAC
rnacentral:lncRNA from 1 species